rnacentral:rRNA from 2 species
GGACGGUAGCUCAACGAUGCGUAGCCGACCUGAGAGGGUGAUCGGCCACACUGGGACUGAGACCACGGCCCAGACUCCUACGGGAGGCAGCAGUAGGGAAUCUUCCGCAAUGGACGAAAGUCUGACGGAGCAACGCCGCGUGAGUGAUGAAGGUUUUCGGAUCGUAAAGCUCUGUUGUUAGGGAAGAACAAGUACCGUUCGAAUAGGGCGGUACCUUGACGGUACCUAACCAGAAAGCCACGGCUAACUACGUGCCCAGUAGAGCGGUAAUACGUAGGUGGCAAGCGUUGUCCGGACCGAUUGGGCGUAAAGGGCUCGCAGGCGGUUUCUUAAGUCUGAUGUGAAAGCCCCCGGCUCAACCGGGGAGGGUCAUUGGAAACUGGGGAACUUGAGUGCAGAAGAGGAGAGUGGAAUUCCACGUGUAGCGGUGAAAUGCGUAGAGAUGUGGAGGAACACCAGCCGAUGUAGUUGAUGAUAAUCGUGUUA